UCUCAACCUUGUACCAACAUUUAACAGCUGGAUUCUUAACUUUAAAAUCAGAAAUGGAUUUUCACGUGACUAUGAUUCUCCUCUUCUUUGGAUACAGCUUCAACUCCUGCUCUCAGUUCCCCCUGCGAGAGUACCACUAUGUUAACAAGCUAAUGAGCUGGACCGAAGCUCAGCAUUACUGCAGAGAGAAAUACACUGACCUGGCCACCAUUGAAAGCAUGGAUGAC